GAAUCAUCACCCCAUGCGAGGCGAAGCUUUGCUACAAUAGUUCUUUUGUAUGUCGUUAGCCUCACAGCAUAAUUUUCUAAGUCAUAUAUUAAGGUUAAUCUUUUAUUUAGCGUGAAAAAUGCCGGUGUCAAAUAGAUGAGUUAGGUAGAUGGUGAUUAUGAAAGAGAGAAAGAGUGGUCCUUCUGGCCCGACGUCCCCCGAGUCCAUGGUUACUACGGUAACCAUGGUGGCGGCUGGUGCUGUGAGGGUGUGCUGUGAUCUUCUGGAGGCCUUUCCGUUUUCGUGAACGUCCAUUCUAAGGCCGGAAGAGAAAAAGUAACAAAUGAGAUGGUUGGGAGAACAAAUGGGAGAUUUUUUUGUAUAAACUAUCACUUUUAACGGGUGUACCACAUACUAGAUCAAUGACCCUUGACCUAAACAGCUGCAGAAUGACCAUGAUGUUUAUACUGCACAUUGGAUAAUGUUUCACUUUGACAUUGAAUAGAAAAACACGCGUCUACACCAAAGUCAAACUCAACCCUCUGCAAAAGUGAUAAAGAAUAUAUAGAACAGAUGGACCCAGUAGCAGGAAAUGAUUUGUACGAUCACUUGGCGGAUGCUUUAUCCAAAGCGCCUUAACAAUAAUGUAACCGUAAUAAUUACAGAUAAAUGAGUGACUGAAACAUUAGAUUUAAGAUGCCCCUGUUCUAUGCAGUGGCGGCCCCAGAGGGAAUUGAACCCUGGCACUAGUUGAACAACCCAGGAUCAGAUUAAAAGACUAAACCAUUUUCUAUUGAGUACCAAAAGUAAAUAAAAAAAUAAAUAUCAUUGUCCCUUUGAACAAUGUCUGUUCAAAGGGACCAAGUCCAAACUAAAUCCAAUUAAUAAAAAAUCAGCAAAACAUAUUAAUUUUUAACCUUUAAUAAAAGGUACAAUUCACUACAGCAAACACAACUGAAUGGACACUACAUUUACAGAUUCAAUGCAAUUUACAAAUUACUGUAUGUGUGAGAAUGCAUGUAUGUUAUGAACCUUUAAAAGUGUUCAUUCAGUAACGCAGAACUAAGUGCAGACCUACAAGCCGAUUCAGACACAAGGACACAAGUCUACUGUUGCUCUCUACAAAACAAAAAACUUUGAUUAGAAACCAAAGUAGGAAAACGGAGAAGAUCCAACAACGUCUGAGCUAGUCUGUUGUGUUUGUAUCCCGCGUGCCCGCGUGGGGAAACGACGGCGGGAGGAGAACGCUCCCGACGUCCCCCGAGUCCCCCGCCUCCGUGCAGCGUGUGGUCCAUGGAUACCACGGUAACCACGGUGGCGGCUGGUGCCGCUGUGAGGGUGUGCUGUGAUCGUCUAGACUAGAGGCCUUGCCGCUUUGGUGGACGACCAUUCUAAAGGCCAGAGGAGAAAAGGUUUCCCUCUGCUCCAGGAGGGGUUAUCCCCUGGCAGGACGGUCCCAUCGACCCAUCUCCACAUCCCUUCACUGGCCUCAUCUGUCGCUCCGAGCCAGAUGGUCCCGCCGUAUCCGCUAAUGAAGUCCAUCUCCUCUUUACUGUCCACCACCACCAGAUCUGCUCCGAGGGAAACACAGAGCUCCCUGCUCCUAUUCCAGGAUUCCCACUGUCUGGAAAGCCGGUAACAUUUACAACCAAACUUAGUCCAACCACCUGGACAGUCCUGUUUACAAAGCAGUGAGUCUCUCUGCUCUGUCACUUUCUUCAGCCUUUGGACAAGUUGCUCCACCUCCA